rnacentral:rRNA from 1 species
GGACCUGACUGCUAUCGGAUUGAUACUAAGCCAUGCGAGUCAUUGUAGCAAUACAAGGCAGACGGCUCAGUAACGCGUAGUCAACCUACCCUAUGGACGGGAAUAACCUCGGGAAACUGAGUAUAAUGCCCGAUAGAACACUAUACCUGGAAUGGUUUGUGUUCCAAAUGAUUUAUCGCCGUAGGAUGGGACUGCGGCCUAUCAGUUUGUUGGUGAGGUAAUGGCCCACCAAGACUAUUACAGGUACGGGCUCUGAGAGGAGUGGCCCGGAGAUGGGUACUGAGACACGGACCCAGGCCCUAUGGGGCGCAGCAGGCGAGAAAACUUUGCAAUGUGCGAAAGCACGACAAGGUUAAUCCGAGUGGUUUCUGCUAAAGGAACCUUUUGACAGUCCUAGAAACACUGUUGAAUAAGGGGUGGGCAAGUUCUGGUGUCAGCCGCCGCGGUAAAACCAGCACCUCAAGUGGUCAGGAUGAUUAUUGGGCCUAAAGCAUCCGUAGCCGGCUCUGUAAGUUUUCGGUUAAAUCUGUACGCUUAACGUACAGGCUGCUGGGAAUACUGCAGAGCUAGGGAGUGGGAGAGGUAGACGGUACUCGGGAGGAAGUGGUAAAAUGCUUUGAUCUCUCGAUGACCACCUGUGGCGAAGGCGGUCUACCAGAACACGUCCGACGGUGAGGGAUGAAAGCUGGGGGAGCAAACCGGAUUAGAUACCCGGGUAGUCCCAGCUGUAAACUAUGCAAACUCAGUGAUGCACUGGCUUGUGGCCAGUGCAGUGUUGCAGGGAAGCCGUUAAGUUUGCCGCCUGGGAAGUACGUACGCAAGUAUGAAACUUAA